rnacentral:rRNA from 1 species
AUACGAAGGUCCCAAGCGUUAUUCGGAAUCACUGGGCGUAAAGAGUACGUAGGCGGUUUGGUAAGUCAGGUGUGAAAUACCGAAGCUCAACUUCGGAACUGCAUCCGAUACUGCCAGACUAGAGUAAUGGAGAGGCAGGUGGAAUUCUCGGUGUAGCAGUGAAAUGCGUGGAUAUCGAGAGGAAGACCAAUGGCGAAGGCAGCCUGCUGGACAUUUACUGACGCUGAGGUACGAAGGCUAGGGGAGCGAAAGGGAUUAGAAACCCCAGUAGUCC